CCUACGGGAGGCUGCAGUGGGGAAUAUUGGACAAUGGGGGCAACCCUGAUCCAGCCAUGCCGCGUGUGUGAAGAAGGCCCUCGGGUUGUAAAGCACUUUCAGUGAGGAAGAACGCCUGGUGGUUAAUACCCAUCAGGAAAGACAUCACUCACAGAAGAAGCACUGGCUAACUCCGUGCCAGCAGCCGCGGUAAUACGGAGGGUGCGAGCGUUAAUCGGAAUUACUGGGCGUAAAGCGCGCGUAGGUGGCUUGAUAAGCCGGUUGUGAAAGCCCCGGGCUCAACCUGGGAACGGCAUCCGGAACUGUCAAGCUAGAGUGCAGGAGAGGAAGGUAGAAUUCCCGGUGUAGCGGUGAAAUGCGUAGAGAUCGGGAGGAAUACCAGUGGCGAAGGCGGCCUUCUGGACUGACACUGACACUGAGGUGCGAAAGCGUGGGUAGCAAACAGGAUUAGAUACCCUGGUAGUC
rnacentral:rRNA from 1 species